UACGUAGGGUGCGAGCGUUGCCCGGAUUUAUUGGGCGUAAAGGGCGCGUAGGCGGCUCGGCACGUCCGUUGUGAAAUCGCCCGGCUCAACUGGGCGGGGUCAGCGGAUACGGUCGAGCUUGAGCAAGCUAGGGGGUAAUGGAAUUCCCGGUGUAGUGGUGGAAUGCGUAGAUAUCGGGAGGAACACCAGUGGCGAAGGCGGUUACCUGGGGCUUUGCUGACGCUGAUGCGCGAAAGCGUGGGGAGCAAACAGG
rnacentral:rRNA from 1 species